UACAGGAUGGUUCAGAAGAACAUCAAAGCAUUCCAUAUGAUGAUCAGAAAGAUGGAAAUAAGGUUUUAAAUCUGGGUAAAGAUCUGACCAAUAUUAAGGCUGAAGAUACAUAUGUGAGGAGUGAUAAGCAGAUCAUAGAGGACAUUCCCACCGAUAACCACCCAGCCUUUCACAGCAAAGAUCUAUCAUCUGAUCCUUUGGAUGGAUUUCAAUCAUCUGAUUCAUCACAGACUGUUAAGCAAAAUAAAAGCCACAGACGAAGUGUUCUUCAUCAAAGAAGUCACACAGGGGAGAAUGCUCUUUCAUGCUCAGAAUGUGGGAAAUGUUAUAAAUCUAAAUCAUAUCUUAUGAGACAUCAGAGAAGUCACAUAGGCGAGAAGCCAUUUUCAUGUUCAGAAUGUGAAAAACAUUUUAACUGUAAAUCAAAACUUGUUAUACAUGAGAGAACUCACACAGGGAAGAAGCC